UGGGUAAUAAGCAGGAAGAACUGGAAGUGCUAAUAAAUAAAUACGACUAUGACAUUGUUGGCAUCACUGAAACUUGGUGGGAUAAUACACAUGAUUGGAAUGUUGGUGUGGAUGGGUACAGCUUGCUCAGGAAAGAUAGACAGGGGGAAAAGGGAGGAGGUGUUGCCUUAUAUAUUAAAAAUGUACACACUUGGACUGAGGUAGAGAUGGACAUAGGAGAUGGAAAUGUUGAGAGUCUCUGGGUUAGGCUAAAAGGGGUAAAAAACAAGGGUGAUGUCAUGCUAGGAGUCUACUACAGGCCACCUAACCAGGUGGAAGAGGUGGAUGAGGCUUUUUUUAAACAACUAACAAAAUCAUCCAAAGCCCAAGAUUUGGUGGUGAUGGGGGACUUCAACUAUCCGGAUAUAUGUUGGGAAAAUAACACAGCGGGGCACAGACUAUCCAACAAAUUCUUGGACUGCAUUGCAGACAACUUUUUAUUUCAGAAGGUUGAGAACGCUACUGGGGGGGAAGCUGUUCUAGACUUGAUUUUAACAAAUAGGGAGAAACUCGUUGAGAAUUUGAAAGUAGAAGGCAGCUUGGAUGAAAGUGAUCAUGAAAUCAUAGAGUUUGUAAUUCUAAGGAAGGAUAGAUGGGAGAACAGCAAAAUAGAGACAAUGGAUUUCAGGAAGGUGGAUUUUGGUAAGCUCAGAGAGCUGAUAGGUAAGGUCCCAUGGGAAUCAAGACUGAGGGGAAAAACAACUGAGGAGAGUUGGCAGUUUUUCAAAGGGACACUAUUAAGGGCCCAAAUGCAAGCUAUUCCACUGGUUAGGAAAGAUAGAAAAUGUGGCAAAAGACCACCUUGGCUUAACCACGAGAUCUUGCAUGAUCUAAAAAAUAAAAAGGAGUCAUAUAAAAAAAUGGAAACUAGGACAGAUUACAAAGGAUGAAUAUAGGCAAACAACACAAGAAUGCAGGUGCAAGAUUAGAAAGGCAAAGGCACAAAAUAAGUUCAAACUAGCUACAGGAAAAAAGGAAAACAAGAGGACUUUUUAUC
rnacentral:lncRNA from 1 species